GUAACACGUAGUCAACAUGCCCAGGGGACGUGGAUAACCUCGGGAAACUGAGAAUAAACCGCGAUAGGUCACAAUUUCUGGAAUGGAUUUUGGCUCAAAUCUACAUGGCCCCUGGAUUGGACUGCGGCCGAUCAGGCUGUUGGUGAGGUAAUGGCCCACCAAACCUAUAACCGGUACGGGCUCUGAGAGGAGGAGCCCGGAGAUGGGCACUGAGAUAAGGGCCCAGGCCCUAUGGGGCGCAGCAGGCGCGAAACCUCUGCAAUGGGCGAAAGCCUGACAGGGUUACUCUGAGUGAUUCCCGCUAAGGGGAUCUUUUGACACCUCUAAAAAUGGUGUAGAAUAAGGGGUGGGCAAGUCUGGUGUCAGCCGCCGCGGUAAUACCAGCACCCCGAGUGGUCGGGACGAUUAUUGGGCCUAAAGCAUCCGUAGCCGGUUCUUCAAGUCUUCCGUUAAAUCCAGCCGCUCAACGGAUGGGCUGCGGAAGAUACUAAAGGACU
rnacentral:rRNA from 1 species